AUUAGGAUCUGCUACACAAGCAGUUGGGCCCAUGCCCCAACAACGGUAUAAACCUACCUCCUAAUA
rnacentral:tRNA from 1 species